rnacentral:rRNA from 1 species
UAGCGUAUAUUAAAGUUGUUGCAGUUAAAAAGCUCGUAGUUGGAUUUCGGAGUGGGUCAGUUGGUCCGCCGAAAGGUGAGUUACUGGCUGGUCUGCUCUUCUUCGCAAAGACUGCGUAUCCUCUUUAUUGAGCGUGCGUAGGAUUUACGACGUUUACUUUGAAAAAAUUAGAGUGUUCAAAGCAGGCUAUCGCUUGAAUACAUGAGCAUGGAAUAAUGGAAUAGGACUUUGGUCUUAUUUUGUUGGUUUCCGAGACCGAAGUAAUGAUUAAGAGGGACAAUUGGGGGCAUCCGUAUUUCGUUGUC